rnacentral:rRNA from 1 species
AGAGUUUGAUCCUGGCUCAGAAUCAACGCUGGCGGCGCGCCUAACACAUGCAAGUCGAACGAGAAAGCCGGAGCAAUCUGGUGAGUAAAGUGGCGUACAGGUGAGUAACACGUGGAUGAUCUACCUUUUAGUGAGGAAUAACCAAGGGAAACUUUGGCUAAUACCGCAUGAGCUCGAGAGAGGAAAGUCGCAAGACGCUGAAAGAGGAGUCCGCGGCCGAUUAGCUAGUUGGUAGGGUAAAAGCCUACCAAGGCUUAGAUCGGUAGCCGGCCUGAGAGGGCACACGGCCACACUGGCACUGAAACACGGGCCAGACUCCUACGGGAGGCAGCAGUGGGGAAUCUUGCACAAUGGGGGAAACCCUGAUGCAGCGACGCCGCGUGAGCGAUGAAGCCCUUCGGGGUGUAAAGCUCUUUCGGCAGGGAAGAUAGUGACGGUACCUGCAGAAGCAGCUGCGGCUAACUACGUGCCAGCAGCCGCGGUAAUACGUAGGCAGCGAGCGUUGUUCGGAGUUACUGGGCGUAAAGGGUGUGUAGGCGGUCGUUUAAGUUUGGUGUGAAAUCUCCCGGCUCAACUGGGAGGGUGCGCCGAAUACUGAAUGACUUCGAGUGCGGGAGAGGAAAGUGGAAUUCCUGGUGUAGCGGUGAAAUGCGUAGAUAUCAGGAGGAACACCGGUGGUGUAGACGGCUUUCUGGACCGUAACUGACGCUGAGACACGAAAGCGUGGGUAGCAAACAGGAUUAGAUACCCUGGUAGUCCACGCCCUAAACGAUGCAUAUUUGGUGUGGGCAGUUCAUUCUGUCCGUGCCGGAGCUAACGCGUUAAAUAUGCCGCCUGGGGAGUACAGUCGCAAGGCUGAAACUUAAAGGAAUUGACGG